UACGUAGGGUGCAAGCGUUUAAUCGGAAUUACUGGGCGUAAAGCGUGCGCAGGCGGUUAUGUAAGACAGUUGUGAAAUCCCCGGGCUCAACCUGGGAAUUGCAUCUGUGACUGCAUAGCUAGAGUACGGUAGAGGGGGAUGGAAUCCGCGUGUAGCAGUGAAAUGCGUAGAUAUGCGGAGGAACACCGAUGGCGAAGGCAAUCCCCUGGACCUGUACUGACGCUCAUGCACGAAAGCGUGGGGAGCAAACAGG
rnacentral:rRNA from 1 species